rnacentral:rRNA from 1 species
CCUACGGGUGGCAGCAGUGGGGAAUAUUGGACAAUGGGCGAAAGCCUGAUCCAGCCAUGCCGCGUGUGUGAAGAAGGCCUUCGGGUUGUAAAGCACUUUCAGUGGGGAAGAAAGCCUUGGGGCUAAUACCCUCGAGGAAGGACAUCACCCACAGAAGAAGCACCGGCUAACUCCGUGCCAGCAGCCGCGGUAAUACGGAGGGUGCGAGCGUUAAUCGGAAUUACUGGGCGUAAAGCGCGCGUAGGCGGUCUGAUAAGCCGGUUGUGAAAGCCCCGGGCUCAACCUGGGAACGGCAUCCGGAACUGUCAGGCUAGAGUGCAGGAGAGGGAGGUAGAAUUCCCGGUGUAGCGGUGAAAUGCGUAGAGAUCGGGAGGAAUACCAGUGGCGAAGGCGGCCUUCUGGACUGACACUGACGCUGAGGUGCGAAAGCGUGGGUAGCAAACAGGAUUAGAUACCCUUGUAGUC